CACACUGCCCCACAAGCACUGUCCCCAUACACACACUGCCCCACAAACACUGUUCCCCAUACACACACACUGUCCCAAACACUGUCCCAACACACACACUGCCCCACAAACACUGUCCCCCAUACACACACUGCCCCACAAACACUAUCCCCAUACACACACUGCCCCCCAUACACACACUGCCCCACAAACACUGUCCCAAUACACGCACUGCCCCCAUACACACACACUGCCCCACAAACACUGUCCCCAUACACACACUGCCCCACAAACACUGUCCCUGACAUACACUGCCGCACUCACACACUUCACCCUUAACACACACCACUGCUCCUAUACCCUAUAUCCCAG